GAGCAAGAGUGUCGAAAAUGGCACAACUUGCAUUGAAGGUUGGCGAUAUCAUUAGCAAUUUCUCCGUGCCCAUUGAAUUUAAUUUAAUUUUGAUUGAGGCCUCGAACAAAUUGCUACAUU